GGUGGCCGCAGAGAAUAGGCCCAAGCGACUGUUUACCAAAAACAUAGGUUUCUGCUAAGUCGCAAGACGAUGUAUAGGAGCUGACGCCUGCCCGGUGCUGGAAGGUUAAGGGGAUCUGUUAGAGCAAUCGAAGCAGUGAACUUAAGCCCCAGUAAACGGCGGCCGUAACUAUAACGGUCCUAAGGUAGCGAAAUUCCUUGUCGGGUAAGUUCCGACCCGCACGAAAGGCGUAACGAUUUGGGCACUGUCUCAACAACAGACUCGGUGAAAUUG
rnacentral:rRNA from 1 species